ACACGCGCGCGCGCGUGCGCGAUUCUCUUCCCCAUUGCCUGAGCCCACGGCGGCCCACAGUUCAUGGGAAACGACCCUCGUGGAUCCAUCAUGAGAGUCAGGUUCAGGAUGGAAUCUUACCCUCUCACUGAAUGGGCGCCCCAGGCAACAGAAGGGCUCCCAGCAAGGGUGACCCAUGCCACCCCCUCUCGAGGUCCUUUUUAGACAAAAUGGGUGUCAUUGUAUAAGUUGUUGCUUACACACAUUUAGGGAAUUUGAUCAGAAUGAUUCUGAAGUUGACUUGAAAAAAUAGACAGUUAAGAAUAUGCCCAAGAGAAACAGUUAAUCUCUUUGGGACCUCCCCGUGGGCACAAGAAGGCUGACGUCAGUGCUGAGAAGGGAGAUCCAGGUCCAGUGUUCUGGGGCUGUAGGGCCAGAGUGCCCCAGUUUGGCCUUAGGAAUGUGGCAUGACGGACAAGGUAGUGGGGGGGGUGAGUAGAGUCUGCAAAUGUGCAGUGGGCUUGAGAGGUCGGGGUGUCACCGGGCCCCUUGUGGCCUUUCAUGCACUAACAUAGGCAGCCUUGUUUGUUCUGCUCUCGCAAAAAGGUCAGGGGCUAGGCCAGGGGAGUGGACAGCUCUCAAGCGGAAAAGCACCAGGGGCAGAGUGGGAACUUAGGGACACACAGGGCAGGGUCACAGGCUUUGCAUGCAUGCAGGCCAGGCUGGUGACCAGUGAGGGGCUUGGCGGUGAGGAGUCUAGCAAGGCAGCUGGGCCCUGGAGCUGGAUUCCCAGGCAGAGGGGAAGCACAGCUGAAGGUGGCAGCUGGCAGGAGCUGCUUCUCGGGGAAGGUGAUUUUGUGAGGCCUGCAAUAGGGUGGAUCAGAGCCAGGUGCCCAGGGGAGAGGAGACACUCGAGUAGGUCUGAGAAGGGAGGCCAAGGGCCUGGCCAGGAAGUAGAUACACAGGAAGGUGAGAGUGGACUUCCUGCCAGAGACGGAGGAGCCUAGGACAGGAUAUGGGCAGAGUGUGCUCUGAGGCUUGAUGCAGGAAAGACAGGUUCUCGGAAGCCUGAUGUUAGCACGCUCCAUGGUGCCCCUAGGUAGACCUGGCAGGGGGAUCAGUGGGAUUCAGGCCAGCAGGACAAGGGUGGGCUUGAGAAGACAAGGAACUUGGCCAACCCCAUGAGUGAGGGAAACUACAGCCUUCAGCCCCCGCUGGAAGUUGCGGAGUAGAUUCCGGGGUCACUGGGAAAGAAGUGCCUUACGGUGAUUAUGUCGUGUUGUAAGAAAGGCGAAACGACAGCGCAGACAGGUGAUUCUGCUGUCCCCCUACUGACGCCCGUCGUGGAUCAUCCUGCCGCACACAGCAUCAACCCAGCUGCCAUUGCUUCAUCCUCAGCACCUGCUCAUGGUGCCAGGGUGCCCAACCUGCCCAGCUGAAUGAUGCCACUCAUACCUGCUGCAGCCUGGACGCUCUGGAAAGCCACUCUGCAACUCUCACCCCAUAACACGAUCUGUACAGCACCAAAACUCCAAUAUUGUUUUUUUUUUUAAUUUUGGGAACUCCACCCGCCGCCGGUACCCGCCGCGGUCAGAGCCAUCGCAACCGCAGACCACGUCUCCGCGUCUCGCAGGUCCUCGAACUCAACAAAGGUGAAGGGCGGCCCUCCGCGACGAUUCUUGAGAUUGGAGUCGCGGAGAGCGCAGCAUUUGUAGAACACGUCCUCAGUGUCCUUGGUUCGCAUGUCUGGAGGUGAGGAUGAAUUCCACCACACCUGUGACAUUUCAGCCCAUGAGGAGACCACUGCUCAUAGGAAGGACACCUCACUGGCAUGGAAAGAAUCUCAGCUUUCCUGGGGCUAUGAUCAGCAGAUGGGCUCUGGCAAGGACCCGGGGGCCAUCUGCUAUGCCUCACUUGCCCCCCUGAAGUACUUUGGCUCUGAAGACUCCAUCUAUGUCAACUGCCCCAAUCGGAAGCCCAAGCCUGAACCCCCUCUGGCCGUGGAAUAUGCCAGCAUUGCUGGAAGCAGACCCCAGCCCUCCAAGUCGGCCGCCCUCAAAGCGGAGCCCAGGAUCUGAGGGCGGAAUUCACUGGGCGGGCUGUGAAAUCCUGACAGAUUGUGCAAGUUCCUCUGGUGGUGACUCUCUCUGCCUGAGAGCCUUCUCCCUUCACUGUCCUCUCAGAGCCUCUAAGCCAGGCAGAGAAAGGCUGUCUCCCCACUCCGCUCCUCCUCUCCUUACAGCCCCCCAGUGCUAACUGAUUCUCACAGAUGACCCUGCCAGGACAUGGAUGGGGGUUUCCCCUGACCUUUGGCCUCGCCAGGCAGGGCGGCGGGGUGAUUGCUUCCCUGUGGGAGCACAGCUCCGUCCUGAGCUCCUCCACCUUCCAUGGAAACCAUGACCCACUCUGCGAACUGAGUCUCGGUCAGACGCAGUGGGCUGAGGGGCACCUCCUGCUCUGCUGAAGUACACUUUCAUGGGGCCCUUCUGGAGACAGGGCCCCUUUCUGUUCUGUGCCCCAAGGGGUGUCUGAGCUCUGGGAACUCUGGACUGUUGUGGGCAGACGGGUGGUGUCCUGCCACAUCAUGGGGAAGAUGGCUCAGAACUGCAGAUUCAUCACUUCUCAAGAGUGGCAUUAAAGGUCGUUGAAUCCAACGGGCAGUGGGGUGCCAGAACCGCCCUGUAAAAUCCCAGUGAGUCAUGCAGUCUCUGCUCUCAUCUCUCCCGAGGACAGAGAACUCACUGCCUCCUACUCAAGCAGCUCAUUUGUGAAUAUUUUUGUCAGACAGGACAUUGCUUUCUCUCAGUCACAAUGAGACAUCAGCUUUGUCCAUAGGAUGGGACCGGAGGGUCAGGCUGCAGCAUGGCCCGAAAGGAAGUGAGGGGUCAGAGAGGAGAAGGGUGGGCAGGCUGGGGUCUGGCAGGCCUCUGUUUUAGGAUGAGGUCUUCCUCUGGGAGGAGGGAGAGGUAAGCACUUGUCACUUGUGACAUCUCUGCUGUCAUCAUCUACUUCCCAGGUUCCCAAGGUCGAGAAUGUGGUGUGUCCCCAGUCUGGAGCUGCAUGGGGACACCCAGGAACAACCCCCUGGAUUGGGGUGGGGAGCGGUAGCAGGGGCAGAGCAGGAUGCUCUGAGCUUCAUCUUUGUGCCUCAGGUCUCUGCCCCGUCCUCCUGCCUGAGUCCUCCUGCAACCUGGAUCUGAUUGCUACUGGCUGGGCAAUUGCUGCACCCUGGCCUCCCAUCCAACAGGACCUUGCUCUAAGGUCAUUGGCACUGAACUACUGCAUCAUUUGACUGCUGGUGCUUUGUAAUUCUAGGCUCCUGACAGAAUCUUUUAGGGUUCCUGGACCCAAUUCCAUGUGUGGAGUUGGGUUGCACAGGUUCCCCACACAGGACACCAAGCAAUUCUCCAGCACCAGCAGGGUGUCUGAGACUGCAACUCAGUUCUGACCCUACCUGCCUGGAGACAGCACCAGAUUCCCCAGGUGAAGGGCUCUGUUCUUGCCCGUCACAAGCCCCAGGCUGUUACCUGUGCUUCUGACCAACCAGCUACAGAUUGGAGGUUCCCACGACCUCCCACUAGGUUCUAUUACUUUGCUAGAGCUGCUCACAUAACUCAGGAAGACACUUAUGUUUACCUGUUUAACAAAGGAUACUGUAAAGGAUACAAAUUAACAGCCAGAGGAAGAGCUAUAUAGGGCAAGAGCCCAAUUAAAGGAGCCUCUAUGCUCAUGGAGCUUGGGGCCUGGCUCAGUAGCACUUGGAAACGUUCUGUUUCCCCAAGGGUGGGAGCUCUCUGAUAAGGAAACAGGGUAAGAAAGGGCCAAAACGCUGUUCUCAUGGGUUUUCAUGAGGGCUUCAUUGCAUAGCUAUGAUGGACUAAGUCACUGACCACAGGCUGGCCCAACCUCCAGCCCCUCUUCCUUCUUCGCUCCCUGGAGGCUGGGGCCUGGGGGCUGCGAGGUCCCUCCCUCUAAUCACAUGGCUGGUCCCCCUGGUAACCAGCCCUGCCCUUGGGUGGGCUCCAAAGGUCAGCUUCAUCAAUAACAAGACACCCAUUGCACCUUUGUGGCUCUGAAGUAUUUUCAGGAACUGAGCCUGAAGACCAGAUAUCUAAGAAAUAUAUUUCUGUCAUCUGAAUCACCAAAUAUAUAUUUCUUACCAAUCAUUAUAUUGCCUCUGCGUUGGUCUUCAUUUCAAUCUACAUACCCACUGGGGGAGCCCUUCUUCACCAUGUUCUUCCCAGCCUGGGUUUCCUGCCUGCAUUGCUCUGGCUGUAGCACCAGGAGCCACCCCAGGGGUCAGGUGCCUCAUGAGCUGUCAAAACCCAAAGGAUUUCCUCAGACUAGAGCUCCUGGAGCCAUGUUUAUUAGAGAAGUACUUCUGGGUGCCUGCUGACUGAUGGGGAAAUUGAGGCACAGAGAGCUUAAGAAAUUUCCCA